rnacentral:rRNA from 1 species
UCAGGACGAACGCUGGCGGCGUGCUUAACACAUGCAAGUCGAACGAUGAUCCGGUGCUUGCACCGGGGAUUAGUGGCGAACGGGUGAGUAACACGUGAGUAACCUGCCCUUGACUCUGGGAUAAGCCUGGGAAACCGGGUCUAAUACCGGAUAUGACUUCUCACCGCAUGGUGGGGGGUGGAAAGAUUUUUUGGUUUUGGAUGGACUCGCGGCCUAUCAGCUUGUUGGUGGGGUAAUGGCCUACCAAGGCGACGACGGGUAGCCGGCCUGAGAGGGUGACCGGCCACACUGGGACUGAGACACGGCCCAGACUCCUACGGGAGGCAGCAGUGGGGAAUAUUGCACAAUGGGCGCAAGCCUGAUGCAGCGACGCCGCGUGAGGGAUGACGGCCUUCGGGUUGUAAACCUCUUUCAGCAGGGAAGAAGCGAAAGUGACGGUACCUGCAG